GGAGGGGUGGUCGAGUGGUUGAUGGCUCCGGUCUUGAAAACCGGCAGAGCGAAAGCUCUCGUGGGUUCGAAUCCCACCCCCUCCGCCA
rnacentral:tRNA from 1 species